CGCCCGUCUCGGCCUCCCAAAGUGCUGGGAUUACAGGCUUGAGCCACCGCGCCCGGCCAAUAGAUGUUCUAAGAUUUGUCAUCUACAGUUGGUUUCAG
rnacentral:miRNA from 1 species